rnacentral:rRNA from 1 species
GAGCGCCGUAGCAAUACGGAGCGGCAGACGGGAGAGUAACACGUGGGAACGUGCCCUUCAGUUCGGAACAACCCAGGGAAACUUGGGCUAAUACCGGAUACGUCCGUAAGGAGAAAGAUUUAUCGCUGAAGGAUCGGCCCGCGUCUGAUUAGCUAGUUGGUGGGGUAACGGCCUACCAAGGCGACGAUCAGUAGCUGGUCUGAGAGGAUGAUCAGCCUCACUGGGACUGAGACACGGCCCAGACUCCUACGGGAGGCAGCAGUGGGGAAUAUUGGACAAUGGGCGCAAGCCUGAUCCAGCCAUGCCGCGUGGGUGAUGAAGGCCUUAGGGUUGUAAAGCCCUUUCGGCGGGGAAGAUAAUGACGGUACCCGCAGAAGAAGCCCCGGCUAACUUCGUGCCAGCAGCCGCGGUAAU